rnacentral:tRNA from 1 species
GGGCCAGUAGCCCAAUUGGCAGAGGCACAGGACUUAAAAUCCUGCAAGUACGGGUUCGACUCCCGCCUGGCCCA